UAUGGGGUAAGUCCCACCGAAACGAUGAGGCCUCCUUGAGGAGGGUGGGAUGGAGUAGGUGGGGUCCCGUU
rnacentral:sRNA from 21 species